UUCAUUCUAACCGCAGAAGAGUCGAAACUUUGCACCACAAACUGAAAAUCACUACAAAAUACAGAUCCUCAGAUCUGGAAAAAAAAUCGAACCUAGAGAGGUUUCGUAGGUUAAGGCUCACUUCGAUACAUGAUGCCAACGAGUUGAAUCGAAGUUAUUGGUUGACCAAGGAAGAUGAAGAAAAAGUGUUAAAUCUAAGUUGUCUACUGUCUGCGGAAUAUUUAGGAACAAGAAAGCUGAAUGGAAAAGACAUCACUGUAUACCCUGCGAUACAAAUGAGAAGCCUCUUGCAGAUAAAACCUACGCGUUAAUCCGCAAAGAGCGGAAGGAUCUUGCGAAAUUUUGGGCUAGCUUAGAGCAUCAGAAUGGGGAUGCGAUAUGCUAGUUGAUAUUGGAUAGUGCUACACCAAUGUUUUUAUCUUCAAAGUCAUGUGUCUAUGAAUGAGAUUGAAAAAGGUUCUUCAAAGGGUGUGUUUGGCAUUUGGGAAACUUUUGUGUAUGACUCUUAGAUUGAUGGAAGUUGUAUAGGAAUCGUAGCUCAUAUCUAUGCUAGUUAUGGGUUCCUGCAUAUAAAUUGGGUGAAUUAGACUGUCACUGGCUGCUUACUUGGCACAGUGAGCUAGAUAUGGAUGGGAGAAAGUCAUAUAGGGGUAGAUGGUUUGGGGGUCUCACUAAACUAUUAUCCUUGUUUCUGGACAGUACACAAUCCUUUCAUCAACAGCAGGCAAAUGAGGUUACUUAAUUUCUUGUCGUUAAGAAGUUCAAUGGUGGACGAGUUGUAUUUUAUCUUUUUUUUUUUAUAAGAUAUAGUUAUUAGCACAUUUUUAUCCGAAGUUGUUAACAUUGAAUAUUUUGACAGUUUAUAUCAAA